UUUUGUAUCUAAAUAUGUUUAAAAUGGGUGGAUAAAGGACAGCCACUGGUAUCACAGAAUGAUGUGUGCGUCGUUAUACGGUAGUAAGUCUGACAUAACAAGGAACGGUCCCUAACCGGAAGAGCUUCCGUUUGGAUACCAUGGUGACAGCAUUAUCUACUGCUACUGGGAAGCUACUGCUGUGCUCGUCUUCGUUUGGUUUUCUACACAGUUGAAAAAUGCAAUCACAGCUUCAAAGGGCUGCAGCAUUUUGAAAGAACUGCUACAUUAUCGUGACUGAAAAUACAAAA